CGUACACUCCUGCGGGAGGCAGCAGUGGGGAAUAUUGCACAAUGGGCGCAAGCCUGAUGCAGCCAUGCCGCGUGUAUGAAGAAGGCCUUCGGGUUGUAAAGUACUUUCAGCGGGGAGGAAGGCAAUACGGUUAAUAACCGUGUUGAUUGACGUUACCCGCAGAAGAAGCACCGGCUAACUCCGUGCCAGCAGCCGCGGUAAUACGGAGGGUGCAAGCGUUAAUCGGAAUUACUGGGCGUAAAGCGCACGCAGGCGGUCUGUCAAGUCGGAUGUGAAAUCCCCGGGCUCAACCUGGGAACUGCAUUCGAAACUGGCAGGCUUGAGUCUUGUAGAGGGGGGUAGAAUUCCAGGUGUAGCGGUGAAAUGCGUAGAGAUCUGGAGGAAUACCGGUGGCGAAGGCGGCCCCCUGGACAAAAACUGACGCUCAGGUGCGAAAGCGGGGGGAGCAAACAGGAGUAGAAACCCUAGUAGUCCCA
rnacentral:rRNA from 1 species